GAUGAACGCUGGCGGCGUGCUUAACACAUGCAAGUCGAACGGAAAGGCUCCUGCUUGCAGGGGUACUCGAGUGGCGAACGGGUGAGUAACACGUGGGUGAUCUGCCCUGCACUUCGGGAUAAGCCUGGGAAACUGGGUCUAAUACCGGAUAGGACGAUGGUUUGGAUGCCAUUGUGGAAAGUUUUUUCGGUGUGGGAUGAGCUCGCGGCCUAUCAGCUUGUUGGUGGGGUAAUGGCCUACCAAGGCGUCGACGGGUAGCCGGCCUGAGAGGGUGUACGGCCACAUUGGGACUGAGAUACGGCCCAGACUCCUACGGGAGGCAGCAGUGGGGAAUAUUGCACAAUGGGCGCAAGCCUGAUGCAGCGACGCCGCGUGGGGGAUGACGGCCUUCGGGUUGUAAACUCCUUUCGCUAGGAACGAAGCGCAAGUGACGGUACCUGGAGAAGAAGCACCGGCUAACUACGUG
rnacentral:rRNA from 1 species